rnacentral:rRNA from 1 species
UACGGGGGGAGCAAGCGUUGUUCGGAUUUACUGGGCGUAAAGGGCGCGUAGGCGGUCGUGACAAGUCACUUGUGAAAUCUCCGGGCUUAACUCGGAACGGUCAAGUGAUACUGUCGGGACUAGAGUACAGAAGGGGCAACUGGAAUUCUCGGUGUAGCGGUGAAAUGCGUAGAUAUCGAGAGGAACACCUGCGGCGAAGGCGGGUUGCUGGGCUGAUACUGACGCUGAGGCGCGAAAGCCAGGGGAGCGAACGGG